AUCACAGGAGGUGAGCAGAGGGGAAAGGAACUUGGGUGAGGAGCACCCACUUCCACCCUCUCCUCUCCUCCCUACUUUUCUCCCUUUCUCUAAACCUACAUCAUCUCCUGGAUCCUCCCCAUUGAGUAACAGUCCAGUUGCUUUGGUUUCUAUAUAUUUUUAAGUCCUCUGGGUGCAGUGGUCUUCCUGGCCAGUGUGUAAAGCAAUAGAGGCCACAGAGGUGGUGGAGAGAUGGCCCUGGUGGAGGCCCAGUCUCCUUACAGAAACCCCGUGAGUUCCGGGGCUGGGGGUGGGUUGUGCCUCAGCGGACAGGAAGCAGCUCUGGGGUUCUAAGAAAACAGCUCCUGCAGGUGACAGAGGAGGGGCGCAGCAACCUAAAAAGAACACGGAGGGGCAGACACAACUUCUUCUCCACGACCAUCUCUUGGGUGCUGCUCAGGACUGCAGCGGGUACAGAAGCCCCCUCCAGGUAGAAGGAGUUAACUGUAUGCUCCCCACAAGGACAUAGAACCUGGAAGCUUGAUGAUGUUGACUCCUGAUUACCUCACCACCAACCAAUCAGAAGACAUCCAUGAGCUGAUCACACACGCUGCAACCCUCUACUUCACUGUCUUUAAAAACCUUUCCCUGAAAGCCAUCAGGGAGUUUGGGUUUUUUAAGCACUAGCUGCCUGGACUCCUUGCUUGGUGUAAUAAAUCCUGUAUGACUCCUGCAAUAAAUCCUGUACUUUCCUUCACUGCCA